AAAUGUUAAAGUUCUUUUAGAAUUUACCUAGCAGGCCUUCCGCUCUCUAUCAGAAGGCCCCC
rnacentral:snRNA from 1 species